CCUACGGGUGGCAGCAGUGAGGAAUAUUGGUCAAUGGACGAGAGUCUGAACCAGCCAAGUAGCGUGAAGGAUGACUGCCCUAUGGGUUGUAAACUUCUUUUGUAUGGGAAUAAUAUGUUCCACGUGUGGAGUUUUGUAUGUACCAUAUGAAUAAGCAUCGGCUAACUCCGUGCCAGCAGCCGCGGUAAUACGGAGGAUCCGAGCGUUAUCCGGAUUUAUUGGGUUUAAAGGGAGCGUAGGUGGACUGUUAAGUUAGUUGUGAAAGUUUGCGGCUUAACCGUAAAAUUGCAGUUUAUACUGGCAGUCUAGAGUACAGUAGAGGUAGGCGGAAUACGUGGAGUAGCGGUGAAAUGCUUAGAUAUAACGAAGAACACCGAUAGCGAAGGCAGCUCACUGGACUGCAACUGACACUGAGGCACGAGAGUGUGGGUAUCAAACAGGAUUAGAUACCCUGGUAGUC
rnacentral:rRNA from 1 species